GUGGGGAAUUUUGGACAAUGGGCGCAAGCCUGAUCCAGCCAUUCCGCGUGCAGGAUGAAGGCCUUCGGGUUGUAAACUGCUUUUGUACGGAACGAAAAGCCUCUGGUUAAUACCCGGGGGUCAUGACGGUACCGUAAGAAUAAGCACCGGCUAACUACGUGCCAGCAGCCGCGGUAAUACGUAGGGUGCGAGCGUUAAUCGGAAUUACUGGGCGUAAAGCGUGCGCAGGCGGUUUUGUAAGACAGGCGUGAAAUCCCCGGGCUCAACCUGGGAAUUGCGCUUGUGACUGCAAGGCUGGAGUGCGGCAGAGGGGGAUGGAAUUCCGCGUGUAGCAGUGAAAUGCGUAGAUAUGCGGAGGAACACCGAUGGCGAAGGCAAUCCCCUGGGCCUGCACUGACGCUCAUGCACGAAAGCAUGGGGAGCAAACAGGAUUAGAAACCCGGGUAGUCC
rnacentral:rRNA from 1 species